rnacentral:SRP_RNA from 1 species
GCUGGAGGUGGUGGCACGCGACUGUAGUCUCAGCUACUCAGGGAGGCUGAAGCAGGAGGAUCACUUGAGUCCAGGAGUUCUGGGCUAUAGUGUGCUAUGCCGACUGGGUGUCUGCAGUAAGUUCAGCAUCACUAUGGUGACCUCCCAGGAGCAGGGGACCAUCAGGUUGCCUAAGGAGGGGCAAACCAGCUCAGGUCGGAAAUGGAGCAGGUCAAAACUUCUGUGCUGAUCAGUACUGGGAUCGCGCCUGGGAAUAGCCACUCUGCACUCCAGCCUGGGCAACAUAGUGAGACCUCGUCUCCU